rnacentral:rRNA from 1 species
AGUGAACGCUGGCGGUAGGCCUAACACAUGCAAGUCGAACGGCAGCACAGUAAGAGCUUGCUCUUACGGGUGGCGAGUGGCGGACGGGUGAGGAAUACAUCGGAAUCUACUUUUUCGUGGGGGAUAACGUAGGGAAACUUACGCUAAUACCGCAUACGACCUACGGGUGAAAGCACGGUAUCUUCGGACCUUGCGCGAUUGAAUGAGCCGAUGUCGGAUUAGCUAGUUGGCGGGGUAAAGGCCCACCAAGGCGACGAUCCGUAGCUGGUCUGAGAGGAUGAUCAGCCACACUGGAACUGAGAAACGGUCCAGACUCCUACGGGAGGCAGCAGUGGGGAAUAUUGGACAAUGGGCGCAAGCCUGAUCCAGCCAUACCGCGUGGGUGAAGAAGGCCUUCGGGUUGUAAAGCCCUUUUGUUGGGAAAGAAAAGCAGCAGGUUAAUACCCCGCUGUUCUGACGGUACCCAAAGAAUAAGCACCGGCUAACUUCGUG